UACGAAGGGGGCUAGCGUUGUUCGGAUUUACUGGGCGUAAAGCGCACGUAGGCGGAUUGUUAAGUCAGAGGUGAAAUCCUGGAGCUCAACUCCAGAACUGCCUUUGAUACUGGCAAUCUUAAGUCCGGAAGAGGUGAGUGGAACUCCUAGUGUAGAGGUGGAAUUCGUAGAUAUUAGGAAGAACACCAGUGGCGAAGGCGGCUCACUGGUCCGGUACUGACGCUGAGGUGCGAAAGCGUGGGGAGCAAACAGG
rnacentral:rRNA from 1 species